GUUUUGUCUCUGGGGUGAUGUGGGGUAUUGCUACCUGCUGCUGGUUUCUGGCCAACACCUACCUGAGUGCUGUGGUCAGUUUCCCCAUAAUAACCACGGGUCCUGGUCUCAUUGCAGCUCUUUGGGGAGUGGUGGUCUUUAAGGAGGUUAAGGGUUGGUGUAACUUCCUCAUCCUGGGCGUGGCGUUCUCAUUGGUUCUAGCCGGAGCCCUGCUGACAGCCUUCUCUAAGGUGUAACACACAGCUUCUCUAAGGUGUAACACACAGCUUCUCUAAGGUGUAACACACAGCUUCUCCAAGGUGUAACACACAGCUUCUCCAAGGUGUAACACACAGCUUCUCUAAGGUGUAACACACAGCUUCUCUAAGGUGUAACACACAGCUUCUCUAAGGUGUAACACACAGCUUCUCUAAGGUGUAACACACAGCUUCUCCAAGGUGUAACACACACCUUCUCCAAGGUGUAACACACAGCUUCUCUAAGGUGUUAUGACCUUCCGCCAGACACUCAGUGAACCAGGAGGAUGAUGGUUACUGUCCUCCACAAGGGAACCGUCUUAACUUUUAACUGAUACACUUUUUUUAACCAUUUCUAGUUAGUCUCUAAUAUUUUCUUCCUUGAUGAAUUCAUGGAAAUAGACAAAUGAUUUUAUCUUAAAGGGAUACUUUUUUUAAAAUGUUUUAUAAAGUUUGUUUUUCCACUGUGAUGUUACAGCCAGUGGCUGAAGAGGGUGAACUGUAGAGUUAUCUAAUCUAAGUGCCUGAAACUCACUUUCUGGUCCACCACUGUAGAGCCAGUACUUCCUGUUUAUCUAAUGUGACGUUACAGCCAGUACUUCCUGUUGAUCUAAUGUGACGUUACAGCCAGUACUUCCUGUUGAUAUCUAAUGUGACGUUACAGCCAGUACUUCCUGUUUAUCUAAUGUGAUGUUACAGCCAGUACUUCCUGUUUAUCUAAUGUGAUGUUAGAGCCAGUACUUCCUGUUUAUCUAAUGUGACGUUACAGCCAGUACUUCCUGUUGAUAUGUGACGUUACAGCCAGUACUUCCUGUCGAUAUGUGACGUUACAGCCAGUACUUCCUGUCGAUAUGUGACGUUACAGCCAGUACUUCCUGUCGAUCUAAUGUGACGUUACAGCCAGUACUUCCUGUUGAUCUAAUGUGACGUUACAGCCAGUACUUCCUGUUGAUUUGGCCAUCCAAUGUAUGAGACAUUGCAACCCAAUAGAUGCUAGUCAACCUGCAAAGUGAACACUUCUAAGGUCGCUAAGAUAAAUAUGACUAAACUAUAAAAGGCACGGGCUUUCAGCUCUAGAAACGGUUUAUAGCCAUAUUGAAUAAUUAGAUAAAGACAUUGUUGGGUUCUGAGAAUAUGAAAUAUACUUAUUCAUGUCACUGAGAGAGGGUAUAAUGUUUACAUUAUGUCAGGAUAUGUCACUGAGACA